ensembl:lncRNA
AUGUGGAUGUCGAGAGCAGGCUUCUCAUCCGAGCUGCCAUUUGAAUCCUGCCAAAAGCACUGCUUUUCUGGAAGGAAAGAAGAUACCAGUACUGCUUCUCUUCUGCAGUGGUGCCACUGCUUUGCCACCUACUAUAGCUGUUCGUGUCAUGUCUGCACAUGGAUGUUCAGAGGCAUUCAAGAGGAUCAGUCAGGAUUUAGCUUUCUGCUCCUGAGAAAGAGACACUGCACCACUUCUUGGCUCCUACAUCAACAUGGCAGAUACAUUUCAGAACACUUACAGCUUUGCCAUUUAGAGGGAUUGGUUUGUAUUUCAUCUUAGUAUUUCCAUAAUUAUGACAGAAAAUCUGUCCUGCCAUAUAAAUCUCAAAUAAAAUAAAAAUCAAUCAUUGAAACAGUCUGCAAAUUGAAAUUACAAUCUCCUUUUGUCCCAAAUUAUGCCUAAAUAUUUCUGUCUUUUAUUAUAGUGUCUUGUGCUGUUACAUUUUAAUGAUUCCUGAAGGUAGCUUCUUUUCAGUUAUUUCUACAAUUUUAAGUAUUGUUAUGUCAUAAUUAGUGAUCUGCAGUAUCCAAUAUAUCCACUGUCCUAAAGUGUUCAUAUAUUACAAUAUGAUGCAGUCUGAGCCUGGUAUAGUAGGGUGACACCCGCUAGCUAUCAUCUGAUGCUGUGGAGAGAGAAUAGAAUGCUGUUUCCAAGCACAAUAAUGCUGUUCAUUUCAGAAUUAGACACAGUGUAAUUUAGGUAAAAGAAACCAAAUACAUAAAUGUGUCACAAAACAAAACAGUCAGUCUCUCAAAGUUAGCUCUACAAAAUACUGGACUACAGACGUCACAGUACUUUUUCUGUUUUUCCACCUUGAGGAUAUGUUUUGUGGCCUUUUGAUUUUUAAGUUGUGUUGCUGCUUGUUGAUCUAAUCUUACAGGAUUGUAGCUCUGUGGGGCUUUUUUGAAUCUGCAAUUAAAGGAAAAAGGUUUUCGUUUUGACUGUCUUACAAGGGGGUUUUUGUUCAUUUCAGCACAUGGAGGGUUAUUUCCUGCUGCCUUAUUCAAAAUUGUUUUUAAAAUCAACCUUCUUCAGUUUUUUAAAUUCAUGAAGUUUGGCAUUCAUUUUUAUGUUCAAUACCGUACUUUUAAAUUUAAGAGCUGUUGUAAUAAAGAAAAAUGUAAAUGUCAUCUGGAGAUUUACUAGGACACGGUUCUGAACUGCUCAUCUGAAAUGAGGAGCAGUCCAGAACUGUGCCUUACUAAAUCAUGUGCUUAUUGCAAAUGAAGAGAAUAAUUCAGCUUAAUAUUGUAAAUUUCAGCCAUUUUAAUAUUGUAAAUUUCUCCAAAGCCAAAUCCAGCUCUGCAAUCCAAACAGAUAGUACAAACAGGAAAAGCUGGGACAUAUAUUAAUUUAGGAGACUCGUCGCAGGAAAAAAUUCACACGGAGAUUUUGUACUGGCCAGCCACAGGAUGCUAUUACCCUUUACCUAAGAGGUCAAACUCUGAGUAGGAAGGGAAGUAAAAUAAAAAUUUGGGAAGAAGUUGUGUGAAAUAGCUUUUCUCAAUGCUAUCACCUAGCCAUUUCCCUCCGACAGGGGGGCUCUGAGAUGUGUCAAGUGGAAAUUUUAUGUCUGCAGAAAACUAAGAACUUGGUUAUGCUUGGCACAGACUUAAUUCAACGUGUCAAUCAUUUCCUAAAUGUUGAAAAGAUUUGUGCAUUCUACCUCACGCAUGGAAAGGCUGCUGAGAAGGUUGUAGGUCUCAGCAUUCAAUUCUGUAUUUUGUUCCAAGCAGUCACAGCAGUGAAAAAAUUAGAUGUCUGAUGAAAAAGGAAUUAUGACACAGUAGGCUAUUCAUUUUGCUGUGGAAAAAAACGCCCAACCAAAACAAUAAAACCAAAGUGGGGUGGAGACUGAACUUGGCACUUCAGUUAGCAUUUCCAGUGGUUUCAAAUAAAUAUGAUUUUUUAUAAGUUGAUGGAUUAGCUGACAGUAUCCAUUAGCUCCACGCAGCCAGUCAAUACACUUUGUUGUUCUGCCUGUUACUGCAAAGUAGUUCAAACUGUUGACAUUUCAAAUGAAAGACAGGAAAGGAAGUGUUUUGAGUAAGGAGGAGGGAGAACUGUAGACAUACUAAGCCUCUUCUCACUAGAGGAAAUGGUGGGCAUUUUUAGUGAUAAGAUAUGCACUGAGUAAAGAAGUAGAGAUGUGCAUAACAUGGCACAGGGGAAAAAGGACAAAUAGUAAUAAAAAUAGUAAAAAUAGUUACUGAUAACUGCAAAUCUAAAUGAGAUAGUUGUGCCAUGGCUAUCUCAGUAACAGGUGCAAAGUCCAUACGGCUAGGAGACAGUCUGUAACAACAUGAGUCACUUCCACAUCUGAUCCUAUCUGCAGCUCAGAACUUCCUAAAAGCUCUGUGUUUAAGAAAACCUAAAAAUCAAAUCUGUCUCUUCUCUUUGAGAAUAAUUGACAGUGGUCUGGGGCAGCACAGUGGAUCAAAACCUGGCAGUCUAACAGCAGGGCACUCAGCAACAAUAUUGUUAGUAAUUUUUUUACCAGGCCUAGUUGUGAAUAUUAGUUGCAGGUGGUAUUGAAAGCCUCUAGUACUGCAGUGCAUAUUGGCAAGUGGCAAAAGAUUAAUCGGGGGCAGAUGUAGUAGGAGAUGAGAGUUUUCUCCCCUUUCGCUAUUCUGGCUACAACAUGUCUGCCUUGAGCAGGGGUCCCAGAUUUUUUGCAGGGUCCAGACACAGGCUACAGCGUCCUUCAUAUAAUGCACGUCACAGCAGAAAGCUGCACACUGUCAGGGUGAGCAUGAGACAUGAAAGCCCAGGCUGCAGCACCAGGCCUCUGCGGAUGCCUGCAAAAGUGCAAAGCAUUCGCUGCUGCAGCCUGUGCAGCACAGCCCAAGUAAGUGAGGGUCUGAAAGGAAGAGCGAGCAAUGGCAAAUGAGUUUAGAAGGGGUAGAGGCUUCUUUGUCUAGAAGCUAUACAAAAUAUUCAAUACUUAGAUUUUAUAUGCUUCGUUCUCCUUUUGGUUUUGUUUAAGGAAAUAAAGUGAGGUAGAAAUUUUCUGUGAGAAGACUGUUUAUAGCCUUAACAAAUUAUGUCAAUAAGAACAUUCUCCUCCCUAAGCUGAUUACCCAACUUUUUCAUUUUCUCACCAGCUCCACUUUCCCCUGGCAUCCACAGCUAACUGUGGUGCUGGUGUGAGCUUUCAGGGCAAACAAACCAGGUGUUUGCCUAUCCCAGUGGGGUCAGAGGCAGGAGGACAGACUGGGACACUUAGAGCUUAAGGUCACUUUCAGUGAGCAGCAGAACAUCCAGGAGCUACCCUGGCACUGCUGUGGGGUCACCCAAUAGUGGACUUGCCUGCCAGGGAGAAGUAGAGAAGCAAGAGCCAGAAGAUAGUAGCUCAAGGGAACAG